rnacentral:misc_RNA from 1 species
GGCUUCAAGUGCUUUAUUCUCUGCAACCAACGAACUCUGUGUUGCUUCUGUUAAAGCUAAGUCAGCAUCAGGGGAUAUGCAAAGCACCUUGCUUGCAAUGAGGGAUUGUUCCUAUGAAUUAAGUGUAGCACUAUCUGCAUUUGGGUCCAUUACAAGGGGGCGUACUGCUUUGACAUCUGAAUGUGGUUCGAUGCUUGAAGAGGU